rnacentral:rRNA from 1 species
UAGGGAAUCUUCGGCAAUGGGGGGAACCCUGACCGAGCAACGCCGCGUGAGUGAAGAAGGUUUUCGGAUCGUAAAGCUCUGUUGUUAAGGAAGAACGAGUGUGAGAAUGGAAAGUUCAUGCUGUGACGGUACUUAACCAGAAAGGGACGGCUAACUACGUGCCAGCAGCCGCGGUAAUACGUAGGUCCCGAGCGUUGUCCGGAUUUACUGGGCGUAAAGCGAGCGCAGGCGGUUAGAAAAGUCUGAAGUGAAAGGCAGUGGCUCAACCAUUGUAGGCUUUGGAAACUGUUUAACUUGAGUGCAGAAGGGGAGAGUGGAAUUCCAUGUGUAGCGGUGAAAUGCGUAGAUAUAUGGAGGAACACCGGUGGCGAAAGCGGCUCUCUGGUCUGUAACUGACGCUGAGGCUCGAAAGCGUGGGGAGCGAACAGG